rnacentral:rRNA from 1 species
CCUACGGGUGGCUGCAGUGAGGAAUAUUGGUCAAUGGACGAGAGUCUGAACCAGCCAAGUAGCGUGAAGGAUGACUGCCCUAUGGGUUGUAAACUUCUUUUAUAUGGGAAUAAAAUGUUCCACGUGUGGGAUUUUGUAUGUACCAUACGAAUAAGGGUCGGCUAACUCCGUGCCAGCAGCCGCGGUAAUACGGAGAAUCCUAGCGUUAUCCGGCUUUAUUGGGUUUAACGGGAGCGUAGGGGGAUUGUUAAGGCAGUUGUGAAAGUUUGCGGCUCAACCAGAACAUUGCAGUUGAAACUGGAAGUCGUGAGUACAGAACAGGCGGGCGGAAUUCGUGGUGUAGCGGUGAAAUGCUUAGAUAUCACGAAGAACUCCGAUUGCGAAGGCAGCCCAUUGGACUGCAACUGACACUGAGGCUCGAAGGUGUGGGUAUCAAACAGGAUUAGAGACCCCAGUAGUC